rnacentral:rRNA from 1 species
AGCGAACGCUGGCGGCAGGCCUAACACAUGCAAGUCGAACGAACCUUCGGAUUAGUGGCGGACGGGUGAGUAACACGUGGGAACGUGCCCUUUGGUACGGAAUAACUCAGGGAAACUUGAGCUAAUACCGUAUGUGCCCUUCGGGGGAAAGAUUUAUCGCCAUUGGAGCGGCCCGCGUUGGAUUAGGUAGUUGGUGAGGUAAAGGCUCACCAAGCCUACGAUCCAUAGCUGGUCUGAGAGGAUGAUCAGCCACAUUGGGACUGAGACACGGCCCAAACUCCUACGGGAGGCAGCAGUGGGGAAUCUUGCGCAAUGGGCGAAAGCCUGACGCAGCCAUGCCGCGUGAAUGAUGAAGGUCUUAGGAUUGUGAAAUUCUUUCACCGGGGACGAUAAUGACGGUACCCGGAGAAGAAGCCCCGGCUAACUUCGUGCCAGCCGCCGCCGUAAUAC